GAUGAACGCUGGCGGCGUGCCUAAUACAUGCAAGUCGAGCGAAUGGAUUAAGAGCUUGCUCUUAUGAAGUUAGCGGCGGACGGGUGAGUAACACGUGGGUAACCUGCCCAUAAGACUGGGAUAACUCCGGGAAACCGAGGCUAAUACCGGAUAACAUUUUGAACCGCAUGGUUCGAAAUUGAAAGGCGGCUUCGGCUGUCACUUAUGGAUGGACCCGCGUCGCAUUAGCUAGCUGGUGAGGUAACGGCUCACCAAGGCAACGAUGCGUAGCCGACCUGAGAGGGUGAUCGGCCACACUGGGACUGAGACACGGCCCAGACUCCUACGGGAGGUAGCAGUAGGGAAUCUUCCGCAAUGGACGAAAGUCUGACGGAGCAACGCCGCGUGAGUGAUGAAGGCUUUCGGGUCGUAAAACUCUGUUGUUAGGGAAGAACAAGUGCUAGUUGAAUAAGCUGGCACCUUGACGGUACCUAACCAGAAAGCCACGGCUAACUACGUGCCAGCCGCCGCAGUAA
rnacentral:rRNA from 1 species